AGUGAACGCUGGCGGUAGGCCUAACACAUGCAAGUCGAACGGCAGCACAGUAAGAGCUUGCUCUUACGGGUGGCGAGUGGCGGACGGGUGAGGAAUACAUCGGAAUCUACUUUUUCGUGGGGGAUAACGUAGGGAAACUUACGCUAAUACCGCAUACGACCGACGGGUGAAAGCAGGGGAUCUUCGGACCUUGCGCGAUUGAAUGAGCCGAUGUCGGAUUAGCUAGUUGGCGGGGUAAAGGCCCACCAAGGCGACGAUCCGUAGCUGGUCUGAGAGGAUGAUCAGCCACACUGGAACUGAGACACGGUCCAGACGCCUACGGGAGGCAGCAGUGGGGAAUAUUGGACAAUGGGCGCAAGCCUGAUCCAGCCAUACCGCGUGGGUGAAGAAGGCCUUCGGGUUGUAAAGCCCUUUUGUUGGGAAAGAAAAGCAGCAGGUUAAUACCCCGCUGUUCUGACGGUACCCAAAGAAUAAGCACCGGCUAACUUCGUG
rnacentral:rRNA from 1 species